GUCCCGGCGAGGACUUCCAUUGCUAUUAAAUAUGAUUUUGAGUUACACUACAAAAAUAUUGAACUCGCAACUCGGUUGAUUAAAUAAUGCUAUAAAUAAAAGAUUCAUAGUGGUAGAGUAAUAAUUAAUAAUAAUCAGAAGUCGCAUUUAAAAGUGAUGCGAUUUAGAUACCUAAUGCUACCAGGAGCCAACCAUCACUAGACCUUUUAUAAGACGAUAAAACUCGCGAGAAGCUCCUCCUCGCCAUUGCAGCAGCCGCUGAAAUUGCUUCACAUCACCAUCCAGCCUGGUUCUUCUCAAUUCUUUAACUGAGAUAAGAUUAUAGCAAUGUCGUCUACAAGGAAACAAAUUCACAAGGAUUAUAUCGAGCGUGCACGAGCUUAUCACCAAAAGAAGCAGGCUUUACGGAAACUUAAGCUAAAAGCGGCAUUGAGGAACCCAGAUGAAUUUUAUUUAAAGAGGAUCAAAACAAAAAAAUUUGGUGUAUUCUACGAGCUAAAGUGAGAACAAAUUCUCUAAGUAAUAUUUCCAUAUCUAUUUCUAAAAUAUUCGUUUCCAAUUAAUUGGACCUCACUUGCUGUAUACAAUUGCAGGAGACGAGCAAAUAAGUACCUAAAAGAUGAUCUGAAAUAUAUUUUGCUGAAGAAGAAAAUUAAAGAAAUAGAUGCCGAUAUUGAAGCCUCAAAGAGCAGAGUAAAAGAAUUAUGGAAAUUAUUAGAGAAUCAUUUACAGAAGGAAAAUGCAACUGUUGAGAAUCCAAAUCAAUUUGUCGAUGAUGGAGUCCUUA